rnacentral:rRNA from 1 species
UACGUAGGGUGCGAGCGUUGUCCGGAAUUAUUGGGCGUAAAGAGCUCGUAGGCGGUGUGUCACGUCGGCCGUGAAAACCUGCAGCUUAACUGUGGGCGUGCGGUCGAUACGGGCAUCACUGGAGUUCGGCAGGGGAGACUGGAAUUCCUGGUGUAGCGGUGAAAUGCGCAGAUAUCAGGAGGAACACCGGUGGCGAAGGCGGGUCUCUGGGCCGAUACUGACGCUGAGGAACGAAAGCAUGGGGAGCAAACAGG